AUGCGGGGUUUCGUCGACGAGCUUGCUGCAGCAGGCAAGCCCCUGCAAGAUGGUGAGUUGAUCUCCUAUAUCCUCAAUGGAUUGGACAUGGAGUAUCAACCGCUCGUCUCCGCCCUCGAUGCCCGGAUCGUCCCGGUCACCCUUGAUGAGUUGUUCUCCAUGAUGAGAAAUUUUGAUCAAAGGGUGGCCCUCUUCCAAGGAGCAGGCGCAGGAAGCGGUUUCAAAUCUUCUGCAAACGCCGCCACCCGCGGCCGUGGAGGGGGCGCACGUCAUCGCGGUCCUCCCCGGAGCAGCAAGGGUAGGGGCGGCGGCGGAGGAAACAGCAGCGGC
rnacentral:rRNA from 1 species